rnacentral:tRNA from 1 species
CUGAGAGUAGGGCAGUCUGGUAGCCUGCUUGCCUUGGAAGCAAGACGCCGUUGGUUCAAAUCCAACCUCUCAGA